UUUGUUUCUGCGAGAACAUAACGAUCACUC
rnacentral:piRNA from 1 species